GAAGAGGAGGAGGAGGAGGACAGUCCAGCUUGCACCCCCAUGCUGGGCGGGCGGGGAAAGGGUAUCGCUAGCACCAGAUGAAUAUUGAUUGUCUGGUAUGGAGAUUUGUCGGAAAGGACAAGGAAAAUGGCAUUUCAUGAACCAGAGAUGGUGACUUCUUACCGGAGAUAAGGCCAAAAGCUGCAGAUCUUGCACACAUGUAGAACCAAAACCAUCACAAAGAGGCCCUUGAGGUUUUCUGAAACCUCUUUUUUUAUUAAAAAUGAAAUCUGCACGAAGAAUAUGCAAUUUUUUUCAACCCUGAAGAAUAGAAGUGAUUUUUCUCUUUAAAAGAAGAAAAAUGGUGACAAAAGCUCCAACAAGAGUAAGAAUAAAAUUUGAGAUACCUGCUCCACACCCAAACAGAUGCUUGACCCAGAGAGAACUGAUGUCUCUUGCCUAUACAGUGGUGCAGAACAUUUGUUUGCUUCUUUGCCAUUCCUAAACCAAGGAAGACUGUGACAGAGGAAUCCCACAGAAGAAUGGGAAAUGGACACUUCCCAGUGGUGAUGCUUGCUUUGGAUUUGGACAAAUAUCACCAUGAAAGUCUCUUCAUGUAGGUAGAGUGGCCCAAACCCUGUUUUCUCAGCUCCUGUAGCAGACCUUGGCCAGGGUGGAAGUUCACCUGAGCAAGGAGGUCCUUUUUAAUUUUUAAAAUGUACACUUUAUUUUUAAGAGCAUGGUGAGAGAACUUAUUUAUUAAAAAGUGAAUUACAAGUUGUAUAGUUGGCACCGUAAUCACUCAAAUCCAAUCAUUGUUUUUGACCUUUUCUAAAAUAAUUCCCAUGAAAUAAUUUCAAAAAAGAUACUUUAGGCAAUGCAUUUCUGGGAAUCAUUGCACUUCUCAGGUGACUGAAGUCACUUAUUCUUCAUCCUCAUGCUUCACAACACAUCUGAGGCAUGAAAUUAUUCCCUUCCAGUGUGAUGCCUUCUCCUACUCUUAUUGCUUAAAUGAUUCUUAAGGAUUAGUGUGUUAAAAGCAUUGUGAGAAAUUCGGGGCAGGGUGGGGGAAGGAGAAGAUAAUAAUUUAUAUUAGAGUUAUCAACCUGAUCCACAUUUUGGUGAUUUUUAUUCCAAUCAUAAGAGUCUGGAUCUAAUACACAUCCAUGGUAUGGGCUAGCAAAAAUAUGGAGGACACAGUGGCUUCCUUAACAGUGUGGUGUGAAUAAAACCAGUCACACAUAGCAAAAACUAUCAGAAUUUAGAUGGUUUUGUAUUUGCAAGAAUAAAGAGAAUUGCAUUCUCAGUCCACUGAUGGUUAUUGCCAGCUGUCUCCUGUGUGCAGGUACCAUUCUUUGUUCACAGGAUUUUAUGCAUUCAGCAGUGAUUUCUCUCUAAAUCCUUUUACCAUAUCUUGAUUGGUUUGCAGACAGAAUACAAAUUCUCUUGAGACAAAUGUACCAUUACCAUUUUAAAUUGUAAUCUUUUCCAGAAAAUGUUGUUGGAUUUUUGUCAUUAACAUUUGAGAACAAAAGACUGGAGUUUCAACAUUUGUUGCCACCCAUGGGGCUUUUCCUCAUAUAAGGUUCUAGUUGCAAUAUGAGGAAACAACAUUAGUUUCAUGUCCUUUGGAAAACAAUGUGCAGACAAUCACAGAAACUUACCUUCUGUGCAUUUAUUUUACUGUGAGCAAGGACUGUAAAACACAAGCAUGCAUUUUAGCUGGAGGACUACAGGAGUAAUCUCUGAAGCCAAUGUUGGGGAAAUAGUGUAUUUACUAAGUCAUUGCUUAGUAAAGUCCUUAUUUACAAAGCCCUGGUGAGCACUAAUCUCAAGCUUAAAAUUAUAAACAUAGCUGCAUGCUCUGAUAAAUCAACAUUUUAGCUGUUUCCAUUUCUGCCUCAGUGACAAACUUCAUGUAUUGCAAGAAAAUACUACAGCUGUUAAUAAAAGAUCUGUUUGAUAUCCAAGGCUGCAUCACCAAGCUGACUGUCCCUCAGUUUGAAAUGCUCUGUAAAUGCAACAAAAUAUUUAUCAGUAAAACCUUACAGCAUUAAAUACCACAAAAAUGAUUUUGUGCUCUCAAUCCAUCAUUCAUAUAUAAAUAGCAAAUGUCAUGUGAUAGAUAAUAUACAGUAUAUAAUGUAUAAACAAUGUGUUUAAAAUACUUUUAUUUCCUAAAAAUAUCUUAUUCUUAUUUAUUCUCUUCUUCUUCCUGCUGUACCCACACUUUCAUAUACCAGUAAAGUGGCAAAAAGCAGUGAGAAAACAUGAUUGCUUUUCUGUUUCACUAAUUAAAGGCCUUUGCUAAAAUUA